AGAGUUUGAUCAUGGCUCAGAUUGAACGCUGGCGGCAGGCCUAACACAUGCAAGUCGAACGGUAACAGGAAGCAGCUUGCUUCUUUGCUGACGAGUGGCGGACGGGUGAGUAAUGUCUGGGAAGCUGCCUGAUGGAGGGGGAUAACUACUGGAAACGGUAGCUAAUACCGCAUAACGUCGCAAGACCAAAGAGGGGGACCUUCGGGCCUCUUGCCAUCGGAUGUGCCCAGAUGGGAUUAGCUUGUUGGUGGGGUAACGGCUCACCAAGGCGACGAUCCCUAGCUGGUCUGAGAGGAUGACCAGCCACACUGGAACUGAGACACGGUCCAGACUCCUACGGGAGGCAGCAGUGGGGAAUAUUGCACAAUGGGCGCAAGCCUGAUGCAGCCAUGCCGCGUGUAUGAAGAAGGCCUUCGGGUUGUAAAGUACUUUCAGCGGGGAGGAAGGGAGUAAAGUUAAUACCUUUGCUCAUUGACGUUACCCGCAGAAGAAGCACCGG
rnacentral:rRNA from 1 species